rnacentral:rRNA from 1 species
GACGAACGCUGGCGGCGUGCCUAAUACAUGCAAGUCGAGCGAAGUGGAGAGAGCUUGCUCUCAAAACUUAGCGGCGAACGGGUGAGUAACACGUGGGCAACCUGCCUGACAGACUGGGAUAACUUGGGGAAACUCAAGCUAAUACCGGAUAAGAUCGCGAACCGCAUGGGACGCGAUGGAAAGUCUGAACGACACUGUCAGAUGGGCCCGCGGCGCAUUAGCUAGUUGGUGGGGUAAUGGCCUACCAAGGCGACGAUGCGUAGCCGACCUGAGAGGGUGACCGGCCACACUGGGACUGAGACACGGCCCAGACUCCUACGGGUGGCUG